GAUGAACGCUAGCUACAGGCUUAACACAUGCAAGUCGAGGGGAAACGACAUUGGAAGCUUGCUUCCGAUGGGCGUCGACCGGCGCACGGGUGAGUAACGCGUAUCCAACCUGCCCACCACUUGGAGAUAACCUUGCGAAAGUAAGACUAAUAUCCCAUAUGAUGGCGAUCUGCAUGGAUUGUCAUUGAAAGAUUCAUCGGUGACGGAUAGGCUCGCGGGGCAUUAGCUAGACGGCGGGGCAACGGCCCACCGUGGCGACGAUGCCUAGGGGUUCUGAGAGGAAGACCCCCCACACUGGGACUGAGACACGGCCCAGACUCCUACGGGAGGCAGCAGUGAGGAAUAUUGGUCAAUGGGCGGAAGCCUGAACCAGCCAUGCCGCGUGAAGGACUAAGGCCCUAUGGGUCGUAAACUUCUUUAGACGCAGAGCAAUAAGGGUCUCGUGAGAUCCGAUGAGAGUAUGCGUAG
rnacentral:rRNA from 1 species